ACAUUUGUUCCAGUUGAGAGUUCGAGGGAUGGGCAGGGGUGGGGCUGGGAACUGAAGAGGGGUGAAGGGAGGUGGGUGUUGUUCAGAGCCCCACACCUGCUAUUGCUAAUUCCAGGCAGCAGGGCUGGCUGUUUCACCCUGACUGAGCUGAAUUAGAAACAUAAACUACAAAGGAGGGAAUUCUCAGCCAAAGGGGCCUUUAGAAGGCAUGACCAUCGACUUUAGCAACCUAGACCCUUGGCACUGGGGGACUCUUAUUUUAUCCAUAGAGUUAUCUAUUGUUUUCUUCUGUGGGUUAACUGAAUUCAAACCAGCGGCUGCUCUUUUCCUGGGAUGUUCAGAGACUAUGGCAAGUGUGAAUUUUACCACAAGCUGAAUCUCCUGAUAAGGAUCAGCAUUAAUAGUUCAAGAGGCAGUGAUCCUGUUACAUGAAGUGCUAGAGAACUUUGCAGACAAGCCCAUCCAACGUAUGGUAAAGGAGUCCUGGACACCAAGCCAAAAGCAAAGGACACCCGACUGGGGCAUUGGGACAACUGGGACUUACUCCAACUCUGACCUGUUCGGGCCAGAGACAUCCUUUUCUCCGGAUCCCACAGGUACCACCAUCACCCGAGCCUCUUCUUCUGCUUCUUCCUCUUCAUCUGCUAAGUAGUUCUGAUUCACUUCAUCCUGAUCAUCCUGAAACAGUGACAAAACACAAUCCCCUUUUUGGAGAAGAAGAUUUCCAAUGGCACAUCCCACCAGCCAAAAUAAAUGGAAAACGACUCAAUAUUUGGAGAUGCUUCAGAUGUCCACUUACCCAUAAACAUACCUGUUGUUACAAGAGGCAGAUUUCUUUCUCUCUGUUCUUUUGCAGGAAAUAUCCUUUCUAUGACCCAUUUUGACCCAAUAUUCUUUCCAUAGAGGUGCAAGUUUUAUUAUCGGCUUCAGGCAUUUGGGCUGUUCCCCUAGGACUGCUCAUGUCAUUACUCUGUCCUGGGGCCUUGGCUUCCCGCUUAACUUUGUCUGGCCUGUCAGGGCAGAGCUGAGCUCAACACUGGAGGAUGGAGCAGUUUUAGACACUCGUGUCCGUGAUGGCAAAUUCUCAGUCCAAGCCAGCUUUGUCCUAACACCCUGUACACUUUCAGCUGCUCAACCUCACCAUCCUAACUUGUGGCUAAAAAUAGCCUGGGACAGACAUCAGGAGGAGAGGCCAGCUGCUGUACCCCUCCUCAAAGCUUAGACUGCCUUCCCAACAGAAAACAAGAGAUGGGGGCGUUACUUGCUGCUUCUCUGACUGUUGCCCACACUGGAACCUCCUCCUGCCUUAAGCAGGUUGGACAGACCACCUGAGGGCUGGCACGGCAACUGAUACGUCAUCUUCCCCCCACCAACCCCAUACCCUAGGCAGAAGUCUGGGCACGCAGUAAAUGCUCAGCACAUAUUUGUUGAUUGACUGAUUGCAGCCAUUACUUGAGAUCUGAAACUGUAAUCUUCUCCGAGUGGUUCUAAGAAAAUUAAACAAACAAACAAAAAACAACAACAACAAAAAGAAAGACCCAGACUUCACCAAAUGGUAUUUCCAAUGCCUCCCAGCCACGGGCUGGAGGGUUGGAUCUUUGCUUUGUGUGGGUCUGAGGCCACCGUCCCUUCUCUCUGCUGUCCAAAUCUGAAGAGUGGCGGGGCCUGUGCACCUGUUGGGGUUGGAUGUGUCAAAUGAUAGAGGCCAGGGGCUCUGUGCUGCACCCUCCCUGCCUGAUUCCUCAAAGGCCGUUUAGAGGACACUCAGCUAAAAGGGCUGCCAUGGCCGGGGGGGAGGGUCAGAAAACUGGAUUGUUCAGAAUCAGUAAAAGUGAUACAGCGUGACAAGGCUAUACUCUCAGCAUUCAGUCUGCCCGGCGCUAUCUAGCUCUUGAUUAUAAGCACUCUUGAAUCGCUCUCUAGUUUGUUCAAAUGUACAGCUUUAUGUCACGUGCCAUAUCAGCACUGACAGGGACCUUGAAGAUUCACUUCUCCAUGUGAGGCCCAGAGAGGGGACAGGAUCUAGCCAAAAUCACUCAGCAAGGUAAUGAUAGAGCUGACAGUCUCAGAACCAUGCUUCCUGAUACCCUGGACAAUGUGAUGCUUCUCACACUGAGCACAAGUGCCUAGAGGUGGUUUAGCAGAGGUGGUUUAUGGAGCACGACGAUGUGUUAGAUUCUGUGUUCCCAAGAGACUGGAGGUGCUUAUAGUCAAAGAUUUCUAACUCUGACAAGGACUCACAGAGUAAGGCUUAGGAAAAUAAACCUCAUCACUCAAUGUUGAAUGGAUUAAUAAAUGUUCUUAAAUCUCUUUCCCUUGUGUUUGAACAUAUGUACCCAUUUGACCUCCAGAAUGACAUUCUGAGCACCCGGGGGCAGGGUCCAUAUUUUCUAACUCCUUGAUGGCUCUCCACAGUGUGGAGCCCGCAGCUAGGUAACCAGCAGGUACUGAACAAACGUCAGUGAUAACUGCCUGACUGAAAACUCCUGAACCAGAGCUCUGGGGGAAUGCUCUCACAGAGCUUGUUGCUCUGGCCUCAGCACUCAUUUGGACUGUAGUGGGUAGUCAUCAUGGCCCCCAGAGAAUCUAAUGCAGCUGAGAAUCUCAGAGAAUUUGAAGUAUAACAUUUCAACGUGGAGACAUUUAUAUUCCCUUUAUAUUUUCUGGAAAACUUCCUUUUCUCUCCUUGUUGCCUGUUUGCCUGCCCUCCACCAAGGAGGCAGCUGGCUUUGGCCUCAGCCUGAUCUUAUUUGUAGAUAUGAGCUCUCACGAUAAUCCCAUUAAAGAUGGCUUGUCAUUAAAGCUUUACCCUCCCGGGAAGAAUUAACCUUCUCAGAGCUAAUUUCCCCACGGCUCUCACACUGCCUGAGCUUCAGGAACCGCAAAUAUCUUUUCCCCUCUCCCCUGCUUCCAGGUAUGGGAGAACCUCACGUUGUACAAGAGAGGCACUUUUGUGCAACUAACUAUUUAACGGAAUCCAGCAGGGAAUCCUUUGGUAAUGAGAGGGUCUGUUUUUGUCAGUUUCCUAAAGUGGCACUGCCCUCAUGUGAUAGUGUAUGUGAGUGUGCUGGGGCCAUCGUGUUGCCCUAAAAGGAAAGAGUCUGAAGGGCAGAAGGUGGCUCCAUUUUGAGCACUCUAAAUAUAUAAACAUAUAAACAAAUAUAUAAACAAACAGUAUGACCCGAAAGGUAAAUUUGUGCCCUGCAUUGAGUAACACCCUGUAAACAUUCGAACAGUUGGUUAAUUGUCAAAGAGACAUUAGCACCCGAUUAUUCACUGCAUCAAAUAAUUUCUUUUUAAAUUUGAUCAAGUAGCCCCUAUAAAGAGCAAGUUCCCCUGAUGCAUUUAAAAUCCAAACCAGUUGACAAAUAAUUGAAAUUAUACACAACGCUUUAGCAGCAUUAUAGAGAAAAGAUGCGAAGUAAGGAAUAGUUAUGUAUGCCCUACAGACUGUGACUGCUCUGAGACCUGGUAGGGACUUUGGGGAUGUCAAAAGAGAGAUUCUACAAACUGUGGCUGGAAAGUUACGAGAAGCCCUCCGCAGGUUGAUACGGGGUUGGAGGAAUUCGUGUCUGCCUCUGCUGGCUGUUGACAGUCUCCACUUAGCUCCCUGGUUAUAUAAGUGGACAUUCCCCCCCAAAAAUGGAUUAAGCUUUGUUUCUUCCUGGGGCCCAGAUCACAACCCUCUCUGGGGGAGAUUUCAGAAUAUACCUCCCCGCAAAGAAAACUACUGCAUGCGGCAUAUAUUCAUGAUUUCUAGCAAAGUAAACGCAAAGAAACUUUGGGUUCAAAAAAAUUUCUAAUGCACCCUGGAGAUAAAUGGUGACAUUGAAGUCGGGGUGCGUGAGUGUUGGGCAGGGCAGGGUGGCAGGCAGGGAGGCAAUGGGUGGUGGAGAAUCAGAGGGCUAGGGAGUGGCAUGCUGCAAAUAUGAUGGAAAGAGCACAGGAUCAGAAGUCAGGAAACUUACAUUCUCACUUUGGCUCUUCCAGUAACUUGCAAGUCACUCCUGUGCUCUGAGCCCCAGCAGCCUCCUUUACAUAAUGAGGGGUUCUGGAGAGAUGAUGUCUAGGACUGCUCCCAACUUCUAUCUAGGAUUCCAUGCUUUUAGCCAUCGUUUGGAAUUUCUGCUUUAGAAAAGAGCAGCUGGGUUCCUAAGAAGCUACCACCCAAAGCGACUGAGACAGCUGGGUAGGCAGCGCCUUUCAUUUCCUCUUCCCCUUCCCUUCUCUCUUGGCUAAAUUUCUUGCUCUCGGAAUGAAACCUCUAUUCCCAGACUCCAAAAGGUCUGUUCAAAUUCUAGACUCCCACGAAAAAAUUUUAGAAGUCCCCCUUAUUCUCUGGCAUCUUCCCCUUCCCUUAUGUUUGUUGCACAGGAAGAGGGGCUUCCUCUUUCAAUCCAGCAAUUUAGGGUGCAGUGGGGUACUGGGAGUCACUGCUCGAGCUUGAAACAAUGGGCUUCCUUAAACUUCAUUGUUCCUGCCCAUCUUAAGGAGAAGCAGCCCUAAGCCACCACCUACACAUCCCCCAACCCACCCCACUAAAAAGGGACAGCAAAAUAUUCUGCUCCC